CUAGAAUUGGCUUAGUGGUAGAGUGCUUGCCUAGCAUGCAUGAAGCCCUGGGUUCAAUUCCCCAAUACCACA
rfam:Dipodomys ordii contig_34432, whole genome shotgun sequence.